rnacentral:rRNA from 1 species
UCGGGAAUUUUGGGCAAUGGGCGCAAGCCUGAUCCAGCCAUGCCGCGUGCAGGAUGACGGUCCUAUGGAUUGUAAACUGCUUUUUGUACAGGAAGAAACAGUUCUACGUGUAGAACCUUGACGGUACUGUAAGAAUAAGGAUCGGCUAACUCCGUGCCAGCAGCCGCGGUAAUACGGAGGAUCCAAGCGUUAUCCGGAAUCAUUGGGUUUAAAGGGUCCGUAGGCGGUUAGAUAAGUCAGUGGUGAAAGCCCAUCGCUCAACGGUGGAACGGCCAUUGAUACUGUCUGACUUGAAUUAUUAGGAAGUAACUAGAAUAUGUAGUGUAGCGGUGAAAUGCUUAGAGAUUACAUGGAAUACCAAUUGCGAAGGCAGGUUACUACUAAUGGAUUGACGCCGAUGGACGAAAGCGUGGGUAGCGAACAGGAUUAGAUACCCUAGUAGUCCCUGAGCGGGCUGGCAAGGCGCAU